rfam:Ictidomys tridecemlineatus contig008703, whole genome shotgun sequence.
AUGGUUGUAGCUCCAUAGUAGAGCGCUUGCCUAGCAUAUGUGAGACCCUGAGUUCAAUUCUCAGCACCAUA